rnacentral:rRNA from 1 species
GCUAACGGCUGAACUGGCAACUUGGAGAAGUGGCAAGUCUUCCAGUAUGGGGAGCAAACAGCUAUGGGUCAAGCCCGAUACCUUUAAGAGAAGUCUUAUUGUGAGGGCGAGUUGUAUAACACCAUAGGGCUGGCCGUCCCAUAUGAAAAGAUUUUAUUAGAAUUGAAUGAAACUUUGUUUAUAUAUUGAUAAUGACAGUAUAUAUAUCGUGUCUUGACUAAUUGCGUGCCAGCAGUCGCGGUAAUACGUAAGAGACUAGUGUUAUUCAUCUUAAUUAGGUUUAAAGGGUACCCAGACGGUCUAUAUAGCUUAUAAAAUGUUAGUAUAAGACUAGAGUUUUAUGUAAGAGGGCAGUACUUGAGGAGGAGAGAUGAAAUUUCGUGAUACCAAAGGGACUCUGUAAAGGCGAAGGCAGCCCUCUAUGUAAAAACUGACGUUGAAGGACGAAGGCACAGAGAACAAACAGGAUUAGAUACCCAAGUAGUCUUUGCAGUAAAUGAUGAAUGCCAUAGGUUAGAUAUAAAUAUAUAAUCCCUAUAUAAUCAAAAUAUUGAAUAUAUCUGGUCUAUAAAUGAAAGUGUAAGCAUUUCACCUCAAGAGUAAUGUGGCAACGCAGGAACUGAAAUCACUAGACCGUUUCUGACACCAGUAGUGAAG